rnacentral:lncRNA from 12 species
CCCCACUCCUCACAAAGCGACCCACUGCUGCGUCUCUUUUCCGCAGCCUGAUGCGUCACUUUGAGACGUGUGCUCGACCUGGUGAGAGCUGGUCCAGCUCCCGGCCCUCCCCACCCGCGCUGUGCAGCUCCGGGUCAGAGGAGGUGGCGGAGGGAUAAAUCCCCGCACUCUCCAACGGAAGGCCAUUGCUACAUGUGCAGCGGAUCCGCUGCCACCUUGCGGCUCAGAGCAACCUCCGGGCUCCCUCAAGGUCAUGGUCAUCUCCCCACACAACAGGGUCACAUACGGGAGAAUCUGAAACCGACUGUGAUGAUUCCGCUUAUACACACACGUGCGCACACACACGUCUUCAGACUCUCGUGGCUGUUCCAGGGUAACAUGCUUCUAAGCCUGUGCGGCCCACACGUAGGCACACGUUGUGCUUAUGGGUUAGCCUCUGACACUUGGGUGCAGGGUUAGGCACCCACAGACACUAACACGGGCUUGGUGGCUCCCAAGUGAAAACGUAGCCAGGUGCUUGUUUUCUUUCCAGAUGCCCAGCACGGAGAACUGAGCUCACAUCCGCUAAGAGGUGUAACGGCAGAGAAAGGACCAAGAUUUUCAGUCAGAUCAUGCGUUUUGCUGGACUUUCUUGACUCCAGGACAUGAUUUAUGGUGAGUUAAAACUCAGCUCAAUCAAAUUCAUUUUCAAAAGAAAGAAAGAACAGAAGGGAAGCAAGGAAGGAAGGAAGGAAGGAAGGAAGGAAGGAAGGAAGGAAGGAGGGAGGGAGGGAGGGAGGGAAGGAGGGAGGGGAAGAAAGAAAGAAAGAAAGAAAGAAAGAAAGAAAGAAAGAAAGAAAGAAAGAAAGAAAGAAAGAAAGAAAGAAAGAAAGAAAGAAAAAGAAGGGAGGGAGGGAGGGAGGAAGGAAGGAACAAAUGAAAAAAUACCCGAAUGGCGUCAUUGGAUGGAUCCUGCAGUCUGGAGACUCCAUCCCACCCCAACAGUGACUGGAGCUUCCCGGGUCCUGGGGUGGGGCUGCCCUCGGGAUCACGCGAGCCGCCCGGGGACAUGGCUGCCCCGUCCUACUAAAAUGAAGAAACCCCGUUCUCAGAGCGAGGCCCCCCACGUGCCUGAUGCGUGGCGGAUGUGCCCCAUCGCUGCCCCCCACCCCGUUCCUCUGCAGGACAGCCACGUGGCACCAAGGGCCGCAGCAGGUGUAUCAUCACUGACGUCCUCCGGCUGCCUGCGUGUCCCCACGGGUCGGCCCAGCUUUGACCCCCCUCCGGUGAGUCCUCGGGGCCGCUCAUGCUGAAGACCCACUUGCCUUACCACCCCGUGGGCGCACCCCAACCGGCCGGUGUCUCUCCUCUAAGGAGACGUGUGGCAAGACAGUUAACGCCUGUUGGGAACCUAACAGGUGCCAGGCAUCGGCCUAACCGCGCGGUAACUCACUCCGCUCUCACAGCCGCGGUGGAUCGGGACAACCAUUAGCCCAGUUGACAGACGAGCAAGCUAAAGAGGUGGAGUGACUGG